CAUGUACUCCCUCCGUUCUAAAUUACUUGUCUUGGAUUUUUCUGGAUACAGAUGUAUCUAGACUUAAUUUUAGUGCUAGAUACAUCCGUAUCUAGACAAAUCUAAGACAAGUAAUUCAGAACGGAGGGAGUACUAG
rfam:Triticum urartu cultivar G1812 contig310684, whole genome shotgun sequence.